rnacentral:lncRNA from 1 species
GGCGGCUAAGGCUACCACCUACUUGCCCAGCUGUUGCUGCUAGAGCUUGUAGACAAAUGUAUAGGCUCAAGAAUUCACAUUGUGGUGAAGAGUCAUUAAGAAAUCGUGGGUACUCUUCUAGGAGUUGAUGACUUUGUCAAGAUGGACUAGAAGAGGUCACUGAGUUUGAAAUCACACCAGAAGGAAGAAUAUAAUUAAAUUAGAGCAGAUUUUGCUAAGUGGAAAUAAUAUAACAAUGCUAGUUCC